UACGAAGGGGGCUAGCGUUGUUCGGAAUUACUGGGCGUAAAGCGUGCGCAGGCGGCCUUCCAAGUCAGGGGUGAAAGCCCAGAGCUCAACUCUGGAAUUGCCUUUGAGACUGUGAGGCUUGAGUACGGGAGAGGUGAGUGGAAUUCCCAGUGUAGAGGUGAAAUUCGUAGAUAUUCGGAAGAACACCAGUGGCGAAGGCGACUUACUGGACACAUAUUGACGCUGAGGUGCGAAAGCGUGGGGAGCAAACAGG
rnacentral:rRNA from 1 species